rnacentral:rRNA from 1 species
GAGUAACACGUAUCCAACCUGCCGUCUACUCUUGGACAGCCUUCUGAAAGGAAGAUUAAUACAAGAUGGCAUCAUGAGUCCGCAUGUUCACAUGAUUAAAGGUAUUCCGGUAGACGAUGGGGAUGCGUUCCAUUAGAUAGUAGGCGGGGUAACGGCCCACCUAGUCUUCGAUGGAUAGGGGUUCUGAGAGGAAGGUCCCCCACCAUUGGAACUGAGACACGGUCCAGACUCCUACGGGAGGCAGCAUG